GACGAACGCUGGCGGCGCGCCUAACACAUGCAAGUCGAACGGAGAUUACAGGCGGAAGUUUUCGGAUGGAAGCUUGUAAACUUAGUGGCGGACGGGUGAGUAACACGUGAGCAACCUGCCUAUCAGAGGGGGAUAACGAUUGGAAACGAUCGCUAAUACCGCAUGACAUAGCGGAAUCGCAUGGUUCUGCUAUCAAAGAUUUUAUCGCUGAUAGAUGGGCUCGCGUCCGAUUAGAUAGUUGGUGGGGUAACGGCCUACCAAGUCGACGAUCGGUAGCCGGACUGAGAGGUCGAACGGCCACAUUGGGACUGAGACACGGCCCAGACUCCUACGGGGAGGCAGCAGUGGGGGAUAUUGCACAAUGGGGGAAACCCUGAUGCAGCGACGCCGCGUGAGGGAAGACGGUCCUCUGGAUUGUAAACCUCUGUCUUCGGGGACGAAACGAGACGGUACCCGAGGAGGAAGCCACGGCUAACUACGUG
rnacentral:rRNA from 1 species